CACGUAGUUAGCCGGGGCUUUCUUCUCCUAUACCGUCACACAAAGCGCAGUUACUCGCCUUGCUGUUCGUCUAGGGCAACAGAGCUUUACGAUCCGAAAACCUUCAUCACUCACGCGGCGUUGCUCCGUCAGACUUGCGUCCAUUGCGGAAGAUUCCCCUACUGCUGCCUCCCGUAGGAGUCUGGGCCGUGUCUCAGUCCCAGUGUGGCCGUUCACCCUCUCAGGUCGGCUACGCAUCGUCGCCUUGGUGAGCCGUUACCUCACCAACUAGCUAAUGCGCCGCAGGCCCAUCUUUAAAGCCACAGAUUGCUCCGUGUUUUAUGAUUCUCUCAUGCGAGAAAACCCAGUUAUCCGGUCUUAGCUAUCGUUUCCGAUAGUUAUCCCAGUCUUAAAGGCAGGUUACCUACGUGUUACUCACCCGUCCGCCGCUAGCUUGUCCCGAAGGACAAGCCCGCUCGACUUGCAUGUAUUAGGCACGCCGCCAGCGUCGUCUCGUG
rnacentral:rRNA from 1 species